GCCUCCGUAGAUCUGGUCAUCGCCUCAACGCGAUGGAGGGUGUCAUCAUGAUUUAUUGAGGAGCAGGGGUUCGAUUCCUCUCGGAGGCA